GAUGAACGCUGGCGGCGUGCCUAAUACAUGCAAGUCGAACGCUGGAAAUCUAGCUUGCUAGAUUGAAGGAGUGGCGAACGGGUGAGUAAUACAUAAGCAACCUACCCACGAAGACUGGGAUAAUCUCUGGAAACGGGGACUAAUACCGGAUAGGUAAUCGGAAGGCAUCUUCUGAUUAUUAAAGGUUAAAAACACUGGUGGAUGGGCUUAUGGCGCAUUAGUUAGUUGGUGAGGUAACGGCCCACCAAGACGAUGAUGCGUAGCCGGCCUGAGAGGGUGAACGGCCACAUGGGGACUGAGACACGGCCCAGACUCCUACGGGAGGCAGCAGUAGGGAAUUGUCGGCAAUGGGGGAAACCCUGACCGAGCAACGCCGCGUGAGUGAUGACGGCCUUCGGGUUGUAAAGCUCUGUUGUAAGGGAAGAACGGUAGAUAGAGAAUAUCUAAAUGACGGUACCUUACCAGAGAGCCACGGCUAACUACGUG
rnacentral:rRNA from 1 species